CACUUCAUUAACAUUCGUAUGCGAGCACGGCAAGCACGUACGGAUUGUGAAAACUGAAUCAACUGUGUGAAACAACUCUACGGCAAAAAUUACUGUUAACUUUACAAACGAAUUUAUUCCGUAUAAAAUAACAGCGAUUUUCAUUGGAAAACAUUCCGGCGAACAGUACUUUUUCCAGGAUAAAAUGUAACUUAAGUCCUUCCUCGAAUUUGGAAUUAUACUUCUAUGUAUCUACCUAUACGAAAUUACAAGAAGAUUAGAUGAAUAGAUAAAGCGUGAAGAGCAAUUCUCCUGAAAAUUAUGUCGAAACCAGUCGCCAAAUAAACAAUGUAGUUUCUGCAAUUGCCUCAAAAGAAAAUGUAUUUUAUAAAUUUAUGUAAAAACAUUAUGGUAAUUAUAAUGAACACACAACAAGGAAACCCUGUACGGCUGUAAUAUUUGCAAGCAAAAUUAGGUUGAAGUGGCAACUCGUCAGCUUCCAUUUCGCCCCAAAAUUAUCGGAUCACAUUAAUCUCUGGUGCGAUAACAUUUUAUCUCCGCAGUCAUCGCCGUUUUUAGGGGAACGUCACGGGAUACCACUUUCGGCUCAAGUUUAAUGUGUUUGCGAUCUUAUUCCAGGGUAAUGGAUGAGCAAUCUCCAUCGAACAAGCUAGAAUCUCACUUAUCAAUGAAUACUUUUUCAGUUCGAACAUUUUUUCCAAAUUAUGUUAAAUAUUAAUGCAAUGGUAGAUCUCAAAAGUGAUUUAUAUUUGUUUUGCAAGUCUAUUUAGGUAUUUAAUUAGCUCUAAAGUUGUGACCAAAACAACACAAAGUUGCUAUGCUGAAACGUUAAUUGGUAGACAUGAAAAUAAAGUUAUGUUACUGAGAUAUCUAAACAAUAGGUUAGAUAAGAUACCAAAUAUACUCUAAUUGUGUCGUGAAAUUUGUUAUUUUCACCUUUGUCAGUUCAACAACAAAUUCAAAGUAUACUUUGAGUUUCUUUGUUGUUUUGGUUUUCUAAUAAAUGACUAGAGGCGGAGUUUGAAGAUUGUUCUUGAAAAUUGUUUGUGUUAUAUAUCGCUAUUGUUCAGAAAAAAAUGAGUAUUUGAUGUAUUCAUCAAACAGGUUCAGCAAAGUUUGUAUCGAGGGACUGCGCCAAAAGUUUUGAUGUUCACUUUAUGUGUGUACUUAUUUUGUUUUGUCACAGCGCUUUAUUGAAUUUUAUUAAAAUUUGGAUUUGAAUUUUUAUACAAAUAUAUUUGUAUAAAAAUAUGUUUCUACCUACAUAAAGUACAUAAAUACACAGAUUAAGACUAGUUUAAAACCGAAUGAUUCCACUUCUCUAUCCAAUGUACCUUCGUCCAAUAUUGAUGGUAAUCAACAGUUCCACGAUGAACAUCUGACGAUUUUUAAUUACUAGUUUCAUUUUUAAAAUAUUUCCUUCAUUUUCACUGGUACCAACACCGGAUCCGUGAUGGAGCUACUGAUGAUUAUUUUUAAAUCACGUUUUCCAUUCAAAAAAUCUAUAUUUAGAAUUUACUAUAACUACAAAUUCAUAUUAAUAUUGAUGAUAUCUUGUAUUUCCUUUUUAACCACAAAUUAAUGUUUGUGGUUAUGAAAUCUUUUUACAAGAUAGUGAUACUGAAUUUCUUAUUUCUAAUA